GACAAGGGACGGCCUUGGGCUAGGUCUGAAUUACCUUGCGACAAAGAGGAUCUUGCACUCUUCUCGGCCUGCACCCUAAUCACUAUUGGUGAUGGUAUCACGGCCAGUUUCUGGCACGACCGUUGGCUUGACGGACAGGCGCCACGCACUCUUGCUCCAGACAUUUUCAAACUCCGCUCUCGCAAGAGGAUUUCUGUACACAAGGCUAUUACCAACUAAAGAUGGAUGUUGGGUCUGCAUCGCAUCUCCCAGCUGUCGGAGCUCCGUCAACUCGUCACCUUGUGGAACCGGGUUCAACAAGUCAAUUUAUCGCCGGAGACGGAGGAUUCCAUUGCUUGGCUCUGGAAUGACUCCAAAAUAUACUCAGCCACCACCGCCUACCAUUGCCAGUUCGCUGGUUCCUUCACCACCAUGCACUUUGAGAAGCUCUGGUCGGCCAAGGUUGAGCCCAAGUGCCUUUUCUUCAUGUGGGUAUGGUUGCGAGGUAGAAUUUUCACCAACAACAAUCUGGAGACAAGGGGGAUUCCGCAUUCUGAAAAAUGCAACCUCUGCGACCAGCAGGAUGAGACACCUCUUCACCUUAUCCUCCAAUGCCCCUUUGCCCGAGCCGUCUGGUUCCUUGUGGCUACUGAGCUGGGCACCCCAUCCCUAUUUGCUGUGGCCCAGCAAGCAUCCUCCGUCGCUGUUUGGUGGAAUGAUUUCGCCUCCAGCCUAGGCAAGAAGGCAAAAAGUGUAGCCAUCUACACCGCGUGGAACAUAUGGAAGGAGAGGAAUCGCCGGGUCUUCGAUCACAAGUUUGUGCAAGAGUCUUCUAUUCUACAACUUAUCGAUUCAUUGGCUCUUGGAUGUUGA
rnacentral:rRNA from 1 species